GGCCAACGCUCGAAGAUGUCGCGUGUGAUUGAAAAUCGAUUAUGUGUCGAGUUCGUCCUCAAGUUUCGUUGGUAGUACCUCCUAACCAUGGUUAACCCAAGAAGGAUGAAAAGGGAUGCAUACAAACUAGAGUAAACGAGACUAAGAUUUGUCCAGAGAAUUUCCAGGUAAUUUCCUAUACGAAGGAUUUAGCCACGAUCAAAAAUCUCGAAUCUCCUCUUUACUAGACAUCGUCAGACGAUUCUCACGAACAUGAAAAGACGGAAGAAGAAGAAGAAGAAGAAGAAGAAGAAGAAGAAGAAGAAAGAAGAUGGAAGGAAAAGUCGAAUGCUAGAAGUUCGUUCGUUCUUCCUCGUAAAUCGACUUGCCGUUGUAAAAUCCUAUUUCAGACUAGCGCGUGUUUCCAUCUCGUUUCUCUUUCCUUCUUGACCUCCUUUUUUACCAACCAACCAACCAACCAACCCUGCGUAGAUCUCAAGCACCAAUAAAAUUCGUUUGACGUUCAUCAAACGUUUAAACCAA
rnacentral:lncRNA from 1 species